UUUUCAUCUAAGGGAUGAGGGCUUUUGUUUCUGAUUUAUCAUAAAAAAAAAAAAAAAAGAGAGAGAGAGAGAAAGGAAGUCCCUGUUUGUCUUUGCUGGCUGAGGGAUACAAUUGUACAGUCUGGCCCUCCAGUUAAAGUGACUGGGUAGGGAAAGCAGGUAGCUCUGUUUGGAAGGGAAGACAGUGCAAGGACUGGUUUCAAUACCAGAAGCUCUUAUGAAUGCAGGCACUCAAGAAAUAUAUUAUGACCCCACAGAGGAGUGUGAAAGGUGGUGUUUCAGUGGGUUUUUUUGUUUGUUUGUGGGGGUUUUUUUUUUGGCAGUUUUAGGCUUGUAUAGCUUCAACCCAAAGUUGUUGUUCAGCUAUUAUGCAUAAUAAUAGUGUUAGUAUGUAGAAAAUGUGAUCAGUAAAUGAUACAGAUUGUAAAACUGUUCAAGUUCAGGGUAAUUCAACAGGUUUUAUUUUAUUCCACUAUUAGAACAAUACAUCCAUUAACUUCAGCUGUCUAAUACAUUCAGUCAAUAAAUGGCUGUUAAAUUAACAGAACAUAAUUAAAAGACAACAAUAAUACUCUCAGGCAGCAUCCAAAGCAGGGCUCAAACUCCUUCCAUCCAACUUAGCUGAAAGGGAGCACUUGCAAGGUGGGGUCAGCUUCUUUUCCCAGGCAGCUUUUCUGUUUGUUAGGUCAAAAGAAGCACAGGCUGGAGAUGAAGAGAAACCUCGCUCUAAGGAAGGUUGAGAUAUCAGAACAGGCUUCCUUGAGGCAGCAGUCACAGCCCAGCACUGACCCACUUCACAAAGCGCUUGGAUGCAGCUCUCAUCUUGAACAGUUGAAGUCAGGGCAAUCUCACGUAGAAGUAGGAGUCGCACGUCCACUCCAACCAGAGCAUGCAGUGCCAAAGAGCCAAUCACUUCAGGGAUCAUCCCUCUUCCUCUUCACAUUCCCCAAGAUGAAAACCUUCAGCAGCAAACGAGCGAAGCCAACGCACAGAAAGAGACUGCACAUCCACAUCUUUAUGAGGAUACAGAACCCAGCUUCUCCUCUCUCCAGCUCAUUCCUGCAGGACCAAGACCACCACCACCAAGGAGCCAUCACCACCCAGGAGCCACUCCAAGUCCCACAGAAGACCCCUUCACCAUGGAGGGGCUACCCCAUCACAGCCCCACUCAGGAGGAGCCCCAAGGGGGAGAGGGGGACUUAG
rnacentral:lncRNA from 1 species